GCGGGAUUAGCUCAGUGGUAGAGCACCUGCUUCACACGCAGGGGGUCGCUGGUUCGAACCCAGCAUCUCGCA
rnacentral:tRNA from 1 species